CGACGGUGACGAGUGCGAGGGAAGUGUGCACGUGCACUGCGAGCGGCGGGGCGCGUUUCACUCUGAGCAUCUCCCUGGCAAGGUGAGGAUGUGACUGAGAGCCAGGCAGUGCUGGAGCGCUGUGGUGUGGAGGAGAUGACACAGUCCGCCUAGAAGCCGCGGGCACCCAGCUCGUCCAUCUUCUUCCAGACAGCUUCCACCAACAGUCUCCAGCAACACUGCACGGCUGUACCUUUCUUUGACCAUCAGCAUCACAAUAAGGCGUUUACAGUAAUUGCCCCAAAUCCAAAGAGGAGACGCGAAAUACAGAGAAAGGCGGCAGCGGAGCUGGCAGCCCUGGAGGACCUGAGGCUGAGCCGGGCCAUGGCCCGCGUGUCCAUAACGCCCAGCGCUGUGGGAGGAUGUUUGACCUUAGAGGAAGUUCGGAAGAGACAGCAGCAAGAGAUGAAAGUGAGCAAAAGUAAAAGACAGAGGAAAAGAUACUUGAUGCCUCUUCAAUGAAACGUUGUCCAGCAGCUGAGAAUU